UGUGUGGGGGGUGGGGAGGGUGUGAAGGGGAGAGGGGCACACAGCCGGGAAGGUGAGAGACAGCGAUGCUCUCUCCUAAGGCCUGGAGCAAAAAGCUUUGUCCCGCAGAUUGAACUAGCAGAUUCCCCCGGCGGAACCCCUCCGCUGGGCUGAAUUUAGCAGCAGAAGAGAUAACCGGCAGAUAAGGACUGAUACCCCCGAGGACAGCGGGAGACGGGCAGGCGGCCGAGGAAAGGGGGAGAAGCCGGAGGCAGCUUUGGGAAGGGGUAAGGAUGGAAGCAAGCUGGGAAAAAGGGGGUUUAAGGGAACCUCUGCUUCCCUCCGCCACCCAGGGGACGGAGGAGCGGCUGGUUCUGUGCGUGUCACCGGCCUGGGAUGGAGCGUUUCCACGGGACUCUCAAAAUGAAGCCAAAACGGACAGAGUAUCCGGCAUUUCAGACACGCAUCUCCCUCUCCAAGCCUUGCAAAAUCCCUGGUGAUUCUCUCUUUGCUGAACCUCCGUUGAAUUCCUACUGAAUAACAGCCCUUUCCUUAAAAAAGAAAUAAAAAAUCCAGUUAAACCCGAUUAAAACCGCCGGAGCAUCUCCCCCAGGAGCAGAGCCGAUUGCAAGGACCUGCUUUGGCUUUGCCUCAUCCAGGAAAAAACAGGAAAAGAAAAAAGUAUUCCGAGGUCGGUUUUGCGUGUGAGUGGCCGAAUUCAGCCGCGUUCAGUGGGAAAUAUCGGCCCUUGGUACCGAGCACCGCAUCCCGGGGAGCGCACCCCGAAAAAGCAGCGCCUUGAGGAGUCGAGCCGACCCCCAGCCGGGCGGGAGAGGAUGGAUUUGGGACACUUUUUAUCUCCCAAAACAGCAGAGGAUGGGGCACAGCGGAGCGCAGCGACAGGAAACAAAACCCUGCUCUGCACUCCGGCAUUUUUAUUUUUUUCCCCUGCGAUUCCGGAGCGCGCUCGCCCGCAAAGCGAAGCCGUUAACGAAAUCUGGGUGAAAAUAACCCAACGGAACAAAUCUCAGCCUUUCCACUCUCCUUUCCAGGCCCCGCUUCUCCCCCAGGGAGGAAAUAAAUCGAUACGAUGCCA